UGGCUUAGUCAGUAGAGCAUGGUGCUUAAAAUGCCAAGGUCUGUGGGUUUGAGUCCCGC
rnacentral:tRNA from 1 species